rnacentral:rRNA from 1 species
AGCGAACGCUGGCGGCAGGCCUAACACAUGCAAGUCGAACGAACUCUUCGGAGUUAGCGGCGGACGGGUGAGUAACACGUGGGAACGUGCCCUUUGGUACGGAAUAACUCAGGGAAACUUGAGCUGAUACCGUAUGUGCCCUUCGGGGGAAAGAUUUAUCGCCAUUGGAGCGGCCCGCGUCUGAUUAGCUAGUUGGUGAGGUAACGGCUCACCAAGGCGACGAUCAGUAGCUGGUCUGAGAGGAUGACCAGCCACAUUGGGACUGAGACACGGCCCAAACUCCUACGGGAGGCAGCAGUGGGGAAUCUUGCGCAAUGGGCGAAAGCCUGACGCAGCCAUGCCGCGUGGAUGAUGAAGGUCUUAGGAUUGUAAAAUCCUUUCACCGGUGAAGAUAAUGACUGUAGCCGGAGAAGAAGCCCCGGCUAACUUCGUGCCAGCCGCCGCUGUAAAAC